GAGGAGGUAGCCAACACAGUUUUUUAUAUACUUUGUUCCGCAAAGUAGCUGUUGACAUUAUAGUUGCUUAGGCACUUUGUUGACUCUAGAGAACCUCGGGCCAAUCGCACAUCCCCGUGACGGCGAUUUUGCAUUCGGAUGUCAUCCAUAUUAACUUUCAAUGCCAGUUUCUGCACCUACUAUGGUGACCACAGGUAACGGGGAAUCAGGGUUCCAUUCCAUACAGGGACCCUGAGAAACGGCUACCAAAUGGAAGGAAGGCAGCAGGCUCGCAAAUAACCCACUCCUGACGCAGGAAGGUAGUGAC